GGCAUUUCCCAUUGAUAUAGGAACUUUUGUACCAGAAACAAUAGUAUCUCCAAUUAUAGCCCCUCUGGGAUGUAAAAUAUAUCUCUUCUCACCAUCCCCAUAGUGUAUGAGACAAAUGUAUGCAUUUCGAUUAGGGUCGUAUUCUAUGGUUAUGAUUCUACCAGAUAUGUCUUUUUGAUUCCGUCAAAAAUCGAUUUUACGGUAUAGGCGCUUAUGACCUCCCCCUCUAUGCCUUGCGGUAAUGAUUCCUCUGGCAUUACGGCCUUUACCACAACGGUGCCGUCCAUGGAUCAAUUUAUUUCGUGGAUUGGAUUUCACUUGCCUGUCUACGGUUCCCUUGCGUGUGCUCGGGAUAGGUGUUUUGUAUAAAUGUUUCGCCGUAUUAUUAAGUAUUCUCCUUUAGUUCGUUUCUCUAUCUAGAAGUGGAAUAGAAUAACCCGGUUGAAGGGUAAUGAUCAUACGUCUGUAAUGCAUUGUAUGUCCCAGAAUAGGUCCCAUUCUUCUACCCUUUCCGGGUAGUCGAUGGCUAUUCACAGCUACUACCUUAACACCAAAGAAGAGUUCGACCCAAUGCUUUAUUUCUGUCUUAGUGAAUCCCGAUUCGACAUUAAAAGUAUAUUGAUUCUUUCCCAAUAAACGAAGACUCUUUUCUGUAAAUACUGCGUAUUUGAUUCCAUCCAUAAAUCGACUUUCCCCCCUAUGCUCUGAGUUCCUGUAUCGAUAAGAAUUCGAGUUCUUAUUGUUCUUAUGUUAUGGUAUGAAUAUACCAUACCAAUUCGUUAUGUAUGGAUGAUGGAUGAGAUUCCAUGGAUAGAGAGCCAAUUCCAAUAGACCGUUCCCGUUCGCGUGCAUCCAGCAGGAAUUGAACCCGCAAAUUUACCAAUUAUGAGUUGGGUGCUUUAACCAUUCAGCCAUGGAUGCUUAACAGGGAUCAUCGUACAUCAUAAAUAACCAAUUUUCAUAUAGAAAGACAUAUCAUAGAAAAAUGAAAUCGAAAAUAUUCGGAGAUGGCAAAUAUUCGGAGAUGACUAUGAAAACACCUCUCCGGAUCCUCGAAUUGAAAGAGAGACUGAGAGGGAUCAAGAAUCCUAAUUCUCGCUAUUUGGAAUGGAUCCAAUUCUAUUGAGUCUGACCCAUAGUGAUCAUUUCUCUUUAGCAAAGAAUGACCUUGGUUAUCAAAGGAUUGAACAACUGAGAUCCAUUUACUUAUGAUACCUAGUUGACAUUGCUAACAAGGAUCUAAUGAAUUAUGAGUUUAAUAGAUUCUCUUUAGCAGAAAGACGUAUAUUCCUUGCUCAUUAUCAGACAAUCACUUAUUCCCAAACCUCGUGUGGGGCUAAUCGUUUUCAUUUACCAUCUCAUGGAAAACCCUUUUCGUUCCGCUUAGCCCUAUCGGGUAUUUUAGUGAUAGGUUCUAUAGGAACUGGACAAUCCUAUUUGGUCAAAUACCUAACGAAAAAUUCCUAUUUUCCUUUCAUUAAGGUACGAGGGCUUCUUAUUCCACAAGAACAAAAGCACCUUUUCAUUCUUUCAUAUACUAGGGGUUUUUACUUGGAAAAGACAAUGUUCCAUACUAAAGGAUUCGGGUCCAUAACCACGAGUUCCAGUGCACUAGAUCUUGUAGCACUUAGCAACGAGGCCCUAUCCAUUAGUAUUCCACAUAAGAAAUCCAUUAUAGAAACUAAUACAAUUAGAUUAGCUCUUCAUAGACAAACUUGGGGUUUGCUAUCCAAGAUAAGACCGGCUCGGGAUCAUGGGACCCUUUUCUAUCAGAUAGGAGGGGAUCUUGUACAAAAUAGACUUCUAAGUAAUAACCCCAUAGAUCCUAUAUCUAUCUAUAUAAAGAGGCAAUCGUGUCAGGAAGCGGCUUUUUCUUUGGCCAAACGGUACUUCGAACUUGGAACGAGCAUGAAGAGAUUAACGAGACUUCUUUCUCUUUUGAGUUUUUCUGGCGGACCGGUCGCGCAAGAUCUUUGGUCUUCCCCCGGAACCGAUGAAAAAGUGGGUCGCUUCUUAUGGACUCGCUCAGAAUGAUUCUUCUCUAUCUAUAGUUCAUGGCCUAUUAGAAGUAGAAGGUGCUCUGGUGCAAUCCUCACCGACAGAAAAAGAUUGCAGUCGGGUUGAUAAUAAUCGAGUGCCAUUACUUUGUCGGUCCGAACCAAGGAAUCCGUUAGAAAUGUUUUGAAAUGGAUAUUGUUCUCUCUUUGAUUAGGGAUGCUAUAUGAAAAGAAGUGGAGUUUGAAAAAGGGAACGGAAUGGUCAAACCGGAACUGCUAGAGGAACGAAUUUUCAAUAGCAUAACUUAGGCUCCUAGAAUAUGGGGCCCUUGGGACAAUCUAUUUGAUUGCAGGGACAGGUACUCUGAAUAUGACUGGGGAUUUUCCUAUGGGUAUUGGAGCGGGUCCAAGCAGAUUAAAGAGGAUGAGUUGUCAGAGACUGCUAUUUAUUCGAAUUAUUUCUGGUAUAUUUAUCAUAAAAAGGGGGAGGUGCAAGAGACUGAUUCGGACUUCUUGCAGAGUGGAACAAUGCAGUACCAGACACGAGAUAUAUCUUUCAAAGAAGAAGGCUUUUUUCGAAUAAGCCAAUUGAUUUGGGACCUUCGGAUCCAUUCUUUUUCCUAUUCAAAGAUCAGGCCUUUGUCUCUGUGUUUUCACGUCGAGAAUUCUUUGCAGAUGAAGAUGAAGAGAUGGCAAAGCGGCUUAGUACCAGUACCUGGAGAAAAAAGCCUCCUAAACAUAUGGCUAGCAACUGGUUCACCAGGAGUACGCAAGAAAGGCAAAAGCACUACGAAUUAUUGAUUUAGGAAUGGGAAUGGGCUAGAACCCUGGGCUCUUCCUUAUAUAAUUAAUGGUCUUUUCAUUCUAAUACUCUAUCCGAGAGUUCUCAGUAUUUAGCAAAGUUGUUCCUAUCUAACGGAAGGCUCCUGGAUCAAAUGACAAAGACAUUGUUUGUGGAGAAAGAGGUGGCUUUUCCCGGAUGAAAUGAAACCUCAUUUGUGUAACAGGAGAAAGAUUUCCCACUCCUUAGCCGUAAAGAUAUGUGGCCAUGAAAAAGGGAGGGGAUUCAGUGGAACAGGAUUGGCCGGGCGGUAGAGUCGUGGAAACACUUGUUGAUUCCUAUUUUGGACCCUAGCUCCAUGGAACAAUAUGCUACUGCAGAAACAUGGAAGAAUUGCAAUCUUAAAUCAAAACACUAUGUAUGGGAUGAUAUGAACUGCCUAAAUAAGAAUUCUUGAGCGUCGAAUAACCUGAGUACUAACUACAUCAAACAAUUUGCAUUAAUGAAACUGUGUAAAUCCACCGGAUAAUCAAAAAUACGCAUGUCUGAUGAAAUGGUUGUUGCUAUCUGUUUCCAUAACGAAUCCUUGGUUUAACUGAAUAAGUAAAGAAAAUGGGCCCUUUCUCAAUUUUGUACUGGAUCGGGGCAUAAAAUUGAGCUAUAUGUCCAAGGUUUGAACUAUUGAUUUACGUAAUUGGAAGUAACUAAUUAGGUUUACGACGAAACCUAGAAAUCGAUCACUGAUCCAAUUUGACUACCUCUACGGGAUAGACCUCAACAGAAAACUGUUGAGUAACGGCAGCAAGUGAUUGAGUUCAGUAGUUCCUCAUAGAAAAUUAUUGACUCUAGAGAUAUGGUAAUAUGGAGAAGACAAAAUUGUUUGAAGCACGCACAGAACCGGAAGCGCCCCUUGUUUCAAAGAGAGGAGGACGGGUUAUUCACAUUUAAUUUGAUGGUCAGAGGCGAAUUGAAAGUUAAGCAGUGGUAAUUAAGACCCCCGGGUGAAAAUAGGGAUGUCUCCUACGUUACCCAUAAUAUGUGGAAGUAUCGACGUAAUUUCAUAGAGUCAUUCGAUCUGAAUGCUACAUGAAGAACAUAAGCCAGAUGACGGAACGCGGAGACCUAGGAUGUAGAAGAUCAUAACAUGAGCGAUUCGGCGGAUUUGGAUUCCUUUUCUAUAUAUCCACUCAUGUGGUACUUCAUCAUACGAUUCAUAUAAGAUCCAUCUGUCUAGAGAUCGUCAUAUACAUCUAGAAAGCCGUAUGCUUUGGAAGAAGCUUGUACAGUUUGGGAAGGGGUUUUUAGAGAAAAAAGAAGAAUCUACUUCAACCGAUAUGCCCUUAGGCACGGCCAUACAUAACAUAGAAAUCACACGUGGAAGGGGUGGGCAAUUAGCUAGAGCAGCAGGUGCUGUAGCGAAACUGAUUGCAAAAGAGGGUAAAUUGGCCACUUUAAGAUUACCAUCUGGGGAGGUCCGUUUGGUAUCCCAAAACUGCUUAGCAACAGUCGGACAAGUGGGUAAUGUUGGGGUGAACCAAAAAAGUUUGGGUAGAGCCGGAUCUAAGUGUUGGCUAGGUAAACGCCCCGUAGUAAGAGGGGUAGUUAUGAACCCUGUGGACCACCCCCAUGGGGGUGGUGAAGGGAAAGCCCCCAUUGGUAGAAAAAAACCCACAACCCCUUGGGGUUAUCCUGCGCUUGGAAGAAGAACUAGGAAAAGGAAAAAAUAUAGUGAUAGUUUUAUUCUUCGUCGCCGUAAAUAAAUACGUAACUAGGAAUAUGGAAAAUUGCAUUUUUGGAAUUUGCAAUAAUACGAUGGGCGAACGACGGGAAUUGAACCCGCGCAUGGUGGAUUCACAAUCCACUGCCUUGAUCCACUUGGCUACAUCCGCCCCUUAUCCAGCUAAAGGAUUUUCUCUUUUUCCAUUCAUUAUUAUUCUAUUUAUUCUGACCUCCAUACCUCGAUCGAGAUAGUGGACAUAGGAUGCCACUCUUUAAAAUGAAAAAAAGGAGUAAUCAGCUGUGACACGAAAAAAAACGAAUCCUUUUGUAGCUCGUCAUUUAUUGGCAAAAAUCGAAAAGGUCAAUAUGAAGGAGGAGAAAGAAAUAAUAGUAACGUGGUCCCGGGCAUCUAGCAUUCUACCCGCAAUGGUUGGCCAUACAAUCGCGAUUCAUAAUGGAAAAGAACAUAUACCUAUUUACAUAACAAAUCCUAUGGUAGGUCGCAAAUUGGGGGAAUUCGUGCCUACUCGGCAUUUCACGAGUUAUGAAAGUACAAGAAAGGAUACUAAAUCUCGUCGUUAAUUGAAUUCAGAAUAGAAAGAUUCAGAAUAAACAAAGAAAUACCCAAUAUCCUGUUGGAACAAGAUAUUGGGUAUUUCCGGCUUUCCUUCCUUCAAAAAUUCCUAUAUGUUUAGGAGAAAAACCUUAUCCAUUAAGGUAAGGAACUUCAAGAGCAGCUAGGUCUAGAGGGAAGUUGUGAGCAUUACGUUCGUGCAUUACCUCCAUACCAAGAUUAGCACGGUUGAUGAUAUCAGCCCAAGUAUUAAUAACGCGACCUUGGCUAUCAACUACAGAUUGGUUGAAAUUGAAACCAUUUAGGUUGAAUGCCAUAGUACUAAUACCUAAAGCAGUGAACCAGAUCCCUACUACAGGCCAAGCAGCCAAGAAGAAGUGUAAAGAACGAGAAUUGUUGAAACUAGCAUAUUGGAAGAUUAAUCGACCAAAAUAACCGUGAGCAGCCACAAUAUUAUAAGUCUCUUCUUCCUGACCAAAUUUGUAACCCUCAUUAGCAGACUCAUUUUCAGUGGUUUCCCUGAUCAAACUAGAGGUUACCAAGGAACCAUGCAUAGCACUGAAUAGGGAACCACCGAAUACACCAGCUACACCUAACAUGUGAAAUGGAUGCAUAAGGAUGUUGUGCUCUGCCUGGAAUACAAUCAUAAAGUUGAAAGUACCAGAUAUUCCUAAAGGCAUACCAUCAGAGAAACUUCCUUGACCAAUAGGGUAAAUCAAGAAAACAGCAGUAGCAGCUGCAACAGGAGCUGAAUAUGCAACAGCAAUCCAAGGGCGCAUACCCAGACGGAAACUAAGUUCCCACUCACGACCCAUAUAACAAGCUACACCAAGUAAGAAGUGUAGAACAAUUAGCUCAUAAGGACCGCCAUUGUAUAACCAUUCAUCAACAGAUGCAGCUUCCCAAAUUGGGUAAAAAUGCAAUCCGAUCGCCGCAGAAGUAGGAAUAAUAGCACCAGAGAUAAUAUUGUUUCCAUAAAGUAAAGAACCAGAAACAGGCUCACGAAUACCAUCAAUAUCUACUGGAGGAGCAGCGAUGAAGGCGAUAAUAAAUACGGAAGUUGCGGUCAAUAAGGUAGGGAUCAUCAAAACACCGAACCAUCCAAUGUAAAGACGGUUUUCGGUGCUAGUUAUCCAGUUGCAGAAGCGACCCCACAGGCUUGUACUUUCGCGUCUCUCUAAAAUUGCAGUCAUGGUAAGAUCUUGGUUUAUUCAAAUUGCAAGGACUCCCAAGCACACGUAUUAACUAGAAAGAAAAUAGAUAAUAGAAGGCUUGUUAUUUAACAGUAUAACAUAGUCUAUAUACCAAUGUCAACCAAGCCAGCCCCAACGAUUGGAUUUUCGUAUAACUUCAUUUACCAAAUCCAAAAAUUUGGGAAAUGAAGUUAGUAAAAAUGAAAAACUCAGAUUGCUCUUUUCUAUUUUCCAUAUGGGUUGCCCGGGACUCGAACCCGGAACUAGUCGGAUGGAGUAGAUAAUUCUUCCUUGUUACAAUAGAAAAAACCCCUCCCCAAAUCGUGCUUGCAUUUUUCAUUGCACACGACUUUCCCUAUGUGGAAAUAGCCAAUUUCUAUUCCGAAGAGGAAGUCCACUAAUUUUGAGAAUUUUUAAUUAGUUAAAGUGAUUCACCUACUAUGGAACAUUUCAGAAUGGAAAAUGUGCAAGUUUUAUCUUGAUAUCGAUCUUUUCUAGUUUAUUAAUUUUGUCUAAUGAUUAAUUAAGAGUAAGAGGAUUCACCAGGUCAUUGAUACGGAUAAUAUCCAAAUACCAAAUACGCUCACUGUGUGAUCCAUGGAAAGAAAAGUGAAUUGUUUUGGUGAACAUCAAAGAAAAAACUUGCUCUUCUUCCGUAAAAAAUUCUUCUAAAAAUACCGAACCCAAUCGUUGCAUAAAAGUUCGUACCGUACUUUUAUGUUUACGAGCUAAAGUUCUAGCACAUGAAAGUCAAAGUAUAUAUUUUAGUCGAUACAAAGUCUGUUUUUUCGAAGAUCCACUAUGAUAAUGAAAAAUAUUUCUACAUAUCCGACCAAAACGAUCAAGAAUAUCCCAAUCUGAUAAAUCAGUCCAAACGGGUUUACUAAUAGGAUGCCCCGAUCCAGUACAAAAUUGAGCUUUUGAUAAGGAUCCGACAUAGUAAAAUAACGGGUUUACUUAAACAUGUCCUAGAUCGCGUACAGUCCGACCCAUAAGGCCGGCUAGUCUGAUCUGUCGUAGGAUGGUUCAGCCCUUAAGGCCAGACAAGCGUCGCAGCAUGGAUCCGGUGUCGCGGACGAUCCGACCUCUGAGAUCGGAUGGUCCACACUCACGCAGAGACCGUCUAGUUCCUCUGAGGGAGGCAUAAUAGAGGAAUUCAGGGAUCUCGACAAGUUAGGACAGGGGUUUACAUCGGCCGAUCCUUUGGAGGAGAUCGACAUAGGAGAUGGUAAAACUCUAAGACCGACUUUUGUGAAAAAGACACUGGAGACCAAUCCUAGAAAUGAAAUGACCGGUCUAUUAAAAGAAUAUUCUGAUUGCUUUGCUUGCAAUUACACUGAGAUGUCAAGAUUAAGCCGAGAGAUAGUAGAGCAUCGAUUGCCUAUUAAGUCCGGUUUCAGACCUUUCAAGUAGAAAGCUAGAACAUUUCGUCCAGACUUACUCCCAAUUCAUCGGCUGCUAGGAGCUAAUUUUAUUAGACCUUGCAGAUACGCAGAGUGGGUCUCUAAUAUUGUGCUGGUGGAGAAGAAAUAUUCAGGUAAGCUCAAAGUAUGCAUUAAUUUUCUCAAUUUGAAUAGAGCAACUCCAAAAGAUGAAUAUCCCAUGCCCAUAGCCGACACGUUGACCAAUAAUGUGUUAGGAAAUAGAAUUAUUAGCUUUCUUGAUGGUAAUGCCAGAUAUAAUCAGAUUUUCAUGGCCAAAGAAGAUGCGUUCAAAAUGGUCUUUAUAUGUCCAGGCUUUAUUGGUUUAUUUGAGUGUGUUGUCAAGACAUUCGGCCUGAAAAAUGCUGGUGCUACUUAUCAGAGGGCUAUGAAUUUGAUCUUUAACGAUCUAUUGGAAAAUACUAUGGAAGUCUACAUUGAUGAUAUCGUAGUCAAAUCGGCUGAGUUUAGUUCUCAUAUAGCUCAUUUGCGCAAAGCCUUUGAUAAAAUGUGUCGGUAUGGUCUAAAAUGAACCCACGUAAAUGUGCUUUUGGAGGUUGGCUGGUAAGUUCUUAGAAUUUAUAAUUCAUGAACAUGGUAUAGAGAUAGACCUUGACCGAAUUAAAUCCAUUCUGAAUGUGGGACCUCCGACAUGUAAGCUUGAAAUGUAGAAGUUUCUCAGUAAGGUAAAUUAUUUACGAAGGUUUAUUUCUAAUCUAGCAGGGAAGAUCAAUGCCUUCACUCCUAUCCUUUGGCUUAAAAAUGAUAUCGAAUACACCUGGGGGAUAGAACAAGAGGAAGCAUUUGAUCUCAUUAGAAAAUAUUUGUCUUCGGCUCCCGUAUUAAAAGCACCACAAGCAGGAGUACCGUUUAGAUUAUACAUUGCAUCCGAAGAUAAAGUUAUUGAAGCUGUUCUAACACAAGAAACCGAAGGAAAGGAGCAUGUGGUAACCUACCUAAGUUGGAGGCUGGUGGACGCUAAAACAAGGUACACUUUCAUUGAGAAGUUAUGUCUAUGCCUGUUUUAUGCAUGCACCAAAUGUAGGUGUUAUCUAUUGCCUAGUCAUUGCAUUGUUUCUAGUCAAGCCGAUGUGAUCAAUACAUGUUGCAAAACUCGAUAAUGAGUGGUAGAAUCAGUAAAUGGGCUUAUGCACUUAUAGAAUACGACUUGGCCUAUGAACCAUUGAAAUCUAUGAAAGGCCAGGUCGUAGCAGAUUUUAUUGUAGAACAUUGGAUUGAUAAUGCUCCUAAACCAGGCGUAUCAUAUCUCACGGUUACUCCCUGGACUCUAUAUUUUGAUGGAUUGGUUUGCAACAAAGGACAAGGAAUUAGCAUUGUGCUUGUUUGACCAAGUAAUGCUUCCUUUGACUUCUCUAGCCGAUUAAAAACUUAUUAUACUAACAAUCAAGCCGAAUAUGAAGCCCUUCUAUUCGGCUUGGAGCUAUUAAACUAUAUGGGAGUGAAACAUGUGAAGGCACUUGGUGAUUCUCAGCUAGUGGUCCAACAGAUAUUAGAAAAGUAUCAAUGUCUAGAUGGCACUCUAAAUAGUUACCUUGAAAAAUGUUGGGGCAUAAUUCAUUCUUUUGACGAAUUCAGCAAUCGACGCAUCUCUAGGAUUGAGAAUUAUAGAGCUAACAAUUUGGCACAAGAUGCAUCAGGUUGUCGGAUAAAGCGAGGGAAAUUUCACAACACCGAAAAUCUGAUAACCGGUGCAGGGCUAAUUCCCCAGGUCGCAGACCGUCCGGGGUUGCCAGGGAAGUCCUCCUGGUAAAAUCGGCUGAGAACAAAGCCGAUGAAACUGAUUGGAGGACGCCCAUAGUUGAUUACCUACGAAAUCCCAGUGUUAGGACAGAUAGGAACGUUCGACGUACAGCUUUCAAGUAUGUUUUAACGAGUGAUAAACUCUACCGCCGAAAUGGUUGAUGACGUCCUGCUUAAGUGCUUGGGCCCAAGUGAUGCUAUAUUAGCCAUGGCCGAAGUACAUGAAGGAAUUUGUGGUACCCAUCAAUCAGCUCCGAAGAUGAAGUCGUUAUUGCGAAGAUCUGGCUUCUAUUGGCCUAACAUGAUAGCCGAUUGUUUCAAGUAAUACAAAGGAUGCCAAGUAUGUCAAAAAAUCGGCGACUUACAAAUGAUCCCUAUAGCCGAAUUACAUCCUAUCAUUAAACCUUGGCCUUUCAGAGGAUGGGGAUUGGACUUUAUAGGAGAAAUCCAUCCUUCAUCAUCAAAGGGGCAUUGGUUUGUGUUAGUUGCCACUGACUACUUUACUAAAUGGACUGAAGUUGUUGCUCUGAAGAACAUGACACAUAGGGAGGUAAUUGAGUUCAUAACCGAGUAUAUUAUUCAUAGAUUCGACAUUCCCCACACUUUAACUACAAACCAGGGGGCUUCUUUUAUGUCAAAGGAGGUACAUGAGUUUGCUGAAUUAUAUAGAAUCAAAUUGCUCAAUUCUUCUCCGUAUUAUGCUUAGGACAAUGGGCAGGCCGAGUCUAGUAAUAGAACAUUGAUUAUCCUGAUAAAAAGGAAAGUAUCUGAUCAUCCUAAAUAGUGGCAUAGAAUUUUGUCCGAAGCUUUAUGGGUUCAUAGGAUAUAUAAACACCGUGCUACUAAAGUAUCUCCGUUUAAGCUUGUCUAUGGGCAGGAAGCAGUGUUGCCUGUGGAAAUAAGCUUAGAUGUUGUCAAUCUCUUGUCGGUGAUUAUUAUAAUUCAACGAUGGACAAUAUUGAUGAAGUGACCGACAAGAGAUUGACAGCUUUAGGAGAAAUAGAUCAGGACAAGAUCAUAGUUGCCAAAGCUUACAACAAGAAGGUCAAUGCUAAAUCGUUCCACCUAGGGGACCUGGUAUGAAAGACUAUCUUACCUCUAAGGAAUAAAGACUGGAAGUUUGUGAAGUGGUUGCCAAGCUGGGAAGGACCUUACAAGGUCACGCAAGUGAUGUCCUGUAAUGCCUACUUGUUGCAAACAUUACAAGGCAAAGACUUGCCUAAGGCGUUAAAUGGAUGUUUCCUCAAGCAGUACCAUCCUAGUAUGUGGCAAGAUGCCUAAGAAACCGAUGUGAUCGCAUCUAGUUAGUUGCUUUUGGUUCACUCAGCUCCGCUAAAAGGCAGGGGCAUAUGUUGAGCACCAAAAUAGGUAGGGCGGACGGUCCGGCCCUGAGGCCGGACGGUCCGCGCGCGCAUAGAGCCAGUUAGGUUUCCGAGUUUCUUGCGACGGUUGUUAGCUAAAUUCACGGAAUUAACUUGGGAGAUUGGUUUGUAACGGGUCCAGAACCCCUCCUCUAUACAUAUAGAGGAAUACGGUCGAUUGGAAUCAUCAAAAAUUGAAUCAAUGACUAGUAUGCAUCUCGUUUUUACCUUAGGAAUUAGGAGUAGUUCUAGUUUGUUCUAGUUUAGCCUCUCAAUCCCCAAAUCCUCCGCUUCUCUUCGACUCUACAUCUAUUAGAGGUGUCUAGGUCGGCCUGCUAACCAUAGACAAAGCCUAGGACCUCUCCUCCCCGACAGGGUCCCUCCCGAGAGUGAGAUCCAGGCGCUGCCGGCGAACUCCGCCACCCCUGCGCACGCGCGGACCGUCAAGCCUGCAGGCGCAGACCGUUCGGCUCGUUAGGUCGGAACGCCAGCCCUGCGCCAAGUCGCAGACCGUCCGGCCCCUGGCCACGGACCGUCCGUGCAUGUGCAGAGAGCACCAUCGCCGGUUCUCAACGCAGUUAUUGGCACCCUGAUCGGCGCCAAUAGAUUGAAAUGAGAUAUAGGAUGGGAGAUAGGACGAGUAAGUUGUUGGAGAUAGCCUUAUUGUGUGGUUACAUGGACACCUGCGACUUCGAGGUUUAUUUUACCUAUCUCUACUUCUUAAAAGGACUCGUUUCAACGGUUGUUCUAUGCCACGCACGAAGUGCACAUCUGUUUCUCUCUCCCUCGCUUUUUUCCUUAACAAUUGCAUCACAUGUGACGAUCGUUCUGCGGCAUGCGCGAAGCACACAUGUUUCCUCUUCUAGCGCUUCUCAUGUAACAACUGGACACAUCUGUUUUCCGCUUUCGUUUCUCGCCUAACAACUACGUCACGCGUGAAGCGCACAUCUGUUUCCCCCUCUACCAUGUGCGAAGCGCACAUCUGUUUCUCAUUGCCAGCUCAUAAUUUAGUGGCAGCCCAUAAUUAGCUUAAAGAUAGGAGGCUGGUGGUUUUCACUGACAUAGAACCAAGCUACAAUUAGCAGAUUUCUGGUUUUCCAUAAUUGAGAUUUUGGUGACUUUUUUAUAAUUGGCAGCUUAUGCAACUAUGCAAGAAGGGUAGAAAGUGAAAGUGCAGGAUGGUCUGCACAACAGACAACGAUACACCUCAUCAGAGAACUAGAUUAGCUGUUGAUUUAAACAAUUAUCGUAACAAUUAUGUUGUAAGACCAACAUAUUAAUAAAUUUAAUAUUAUAAGGAUAUAUAUAAAUAUCUUGUAUUUAAUAUUUUUUUAAUUACGCAGUACACUUACACUAGUAUUAUAAAAAAUUGGGACUGUCUGGAUCACUUAGGGGGUGUUUGGUUUGAGGAAUCACUCCAUUCAAAAUGUGGUGAUGCAUCAUGAGUCUAUUCCUCAAAUUUGGUGGGAUGACCUCAUUCCUCAUAUUAAUACUGACUAACUAAGUAUAAUGAAUGAGAUGAUAAUGGAUCAACUCAUUCCAUUCCACAAACCAAACAAAAAAGUGAGGAGUGAGAAGAUGAUGAACUAGCUCAUUCCUCAAACCAAACAACUAAUGCAUCUAGCUAGGUGUAAAGUUGGUUAUUGAUAUAAUCAUAUAGAUGUCCCUAUUAGCUUAUUGGGGGCAGUUAAUGGAUUAUUGCUGCUUAAAUUGCUGGCUUUUAUUACUUUACCAAUAAGCUGACCAGUUUAAAUCAGCUAUAACUUUUUAGCAGCUUGCGGUAUGUUUAGGGGUUGGGGUGUUCAGGAAUGAGGAGGUUGUCUUGUCUUUGAUGAAUAUCAUGGAUGUCAGAUUGUAAGAUGAGGUAUUCAGAAAUAUUUUCCUCUUUUAUGAGGAAUUUAGGGAUUUUUUAAGGAGAUGGGAUGCUUAGGAAUUUGUUGCCAUGAUAGUAUUGCAUAAGGCGAUUUUUCAGCAAGGUUCUAAAUCUUCCGCUAUAGCUAGCUACCACUAU
rnacentral:lncRNA from 1 species